UUAAGUAAAUCAGUGUAAAGUUUCUUCAAAUAUUUUCUUAUGUGCUCUGUUUAAUAUGUGCUCUGUGUUUAUAAGUGAAGGAAAAUGAUUUCAAUACGUAACAUGUUGAAUACGUUUUCUUUUUGUGUUUCAUUCAAAAGGCCAUUUUUACGACAAGAACAUCUUCUUGUAUCGCAAUUUCCAUUGCAGAUAUUUAAUCAUUUCCAAGAGGUCAUUUGGUGCAGCCUGUAAAUCAGUGGUAACAGGGUAGAGAAUUCCUUCAGAUAACAUCCAUCCCCACUCAACUUCUUUAGAAUGGUUUGCACCAAGCCAAGUAAUUUACUUGCAAAUAUGUCCUUCUACUAUGAAAUUUCAUAGCAGCUGAUGUCGGAGGAAGAGAUUUAGGAUUCACAGAUGUAGUCAAGGAGGCAGUGAGAACUUUUGCUUUAAAAUUUUGAUAUCGCAGGUUAUCUAAAUUAUCAGUAGGUAGUCCAGAGUAUACAAUAAUCAUUGCCCUUUCUCCAGCCACAUCAAUCUCAUUUUGGGAACAAUUACUCUUGUAGAACAACUGAGCCAAUGACUUGAAAACAUCAUUAGUACUUGAGAGUUUCAGUGUAACAUUUUUACCCUUUCCAAAAGGCUUAGACGUGGUGUCACAUCCGAGAAAAGCAUGCACAAAAAGUAUCACAUUACAUAUGUAAAUUUUCUUCAAUCAACGAUUGUAAUAGUGUAGCAGUAACACUAGGAGAUAUGUGUCUUCUCCUACUAGAACCGUUUGGUGUGUUUUCGCGCAUUCAAUUGCUGUUUUAACUAUCAUUACACCAGCAUCACCCUGACUGUGUAAUACGAUAGAAAUUCCUCCUUGGAUGUCAUGAUCUUCACAUCAUUUGAAAAGAUAACUUGACUACUAACAGUCUUGGCGCGCUUCAAAUGUGAAACAUCUUUAGUGGACGGUCCAUUAUAUCCAUCAAAGACAAUAACUGGGGAGUUUUUUCAAUAUUUAUUUGACACGUAUUGGUAAUAGUGCUCAUAUAUACUUAAAUAACUUUCUUCUUUCUUCCAUGGGAUUUUAUGAAGAAGCCAGCCGCCAUCAAGAACUACUUUUCUUUCAUCUUCAUUUGAUAUUUCUUCCUUUGAUGGGUCAUACUUAGUCAUCUCAGCUAUUGAUUUUGCCAACUCCGAUUUCUUGGCGUCCCUCAGGUUCCAGUUUGAAGAGAAAAGAGAUACAGGAAAUGAACUAAGUUCAUAUUUGAAGUAAGAAGGAAAUGAAUGUUCUUCUUUUUUCGAUGUUAAAACAACGACCAUUCUUUGAAAUAAAACAUUUUGGUCUAUGUUUCCCAUUUUCUUUUUCGAUCCUGGAUGUUCCUUCUCUGUCAUUAAAACACAUUGUUCUCUUCGACGUG